rnacentral:misc_RNA from 1 species
AACGCACAUUGCACCCUCUGGUAUUCUGGGGGGUAUGCCUGUUCGAGCGUCAUUGCAACCCUCAAGCGCUGCUUGGUAUUGGAUGUUACCCUAGCUGGUACACCCUAAAAAUAUUGGCGGUAGCACCUGGCUUCUAGCGUAGUAUGAUUCUCGCUUUGGAGUGUUUGGUGUGUGCCUGCCAGAACCCCAAUUUUAUCAAUGGUUGACCUCGGAUCAGGUAGGGAUACCCGCUGAACUUAA